ACAGUAGCUCACACACUGACAUACACACACCUGGCCAGUCUGGCAUUGGGGAAAGGGAACGGAUGGAAACAGUCGGGGAGAUGGACUGGACUGUUGAACCAGAGUGUCUGAGAUUAGGCAGUGCCCUGUCACCCUCCUGCAGCAUCCAAGAGUUGCAGAUCCUAGCAGCAGAACAAGGACAGGCAGGCUCAGUAAUUAGGGGGCAGAACACAUCAGGAUCAGG